rnacentral:lncRNA from 1 species
GCAAAUCCCGAGAGCGAGCAGUGCCCAAAGCGAGCAUUCCCCGGUACCGAACCAAAAAACCGAACUCAUCCCGGCCUUUCCCCGGUACCGGAACCGACGCGAUCCGAACCCUCCCGGUGUCCCCUCGCCAUGCGGCCCGCUACCCCCGCCACGCUGCCCGGUACCCCUGGGGCGGCUCCGCGGUAAAACCGGGGUGGUUCCGGUAAAACCGGGUCGGUUCCGGUAAAACCGGGUCGAUUCCCGCUAAAACCGGGGCGGUUCCGGUAAAACCGGGUCGAUUCCCGGUAACACCGGUUGUCUAUUCCCGUUCCCCCGGUUGUUUCCCAUUCCCCGGUUGUCUCUGGUUCCCGGCUGUCUCUGUUCCCCGGUCAUCUCCCGGUUCCCCGGCUGUCCCGGUUCCCGGUCACCUCCCCCUUCCCGGCUGUCUCCAUUCCCCGGUUAUCUCCAUUCCCCGGUUGUCUCCAUUCCCCGGCUGUCCCGUUCCCCGGUCGUCUCCCGGUUCCCGGCUGUCCCGGUUCCCCGGCUGUCUCCAUUCCCCGGCUGUCUCCAUCCCCCCGGCUGUCCCGGUUCCCCGGCUGUCCCGGUUCCCCGGUUGUGUCCCGUUCUCCGGCUGUCCCGUUCCCCGGCUGUCCCGUUCCCCGGUCAUCUCCCAGUUCCCCGGUCAUCUCCCGUUCCCCGGCUGUCUCCGUUCCCCGGCUGUCCCGGUUCCCGGUUCCC